ACGGUGUGGCCCAUCCUUGGUCGGGCCGUUCAAGCCACGGCCGCCGCGGCGGAGGCCGGCGGCCGACGGGGGCCACUCCCCUGAUCAAGGAGAAGCGUGGCCGGCGAUCGAUUUCGAUCGCCGGUGCCGGAAAAAUCCACGGGAAAGAGACCGAAACAGAGGUCUCUUUCCCCGACCGGAAAUCGGCGACUCUCGUCGCCGGCAGCGCGCACAAUGCACGGGGAGGAAGGAGAAGAAAGAGGGGAGGAAGAGGGAAACUUACCUCAGCCUCCGGAGACCUCGCCGGCGAGCAAUUACGGCGAGAAAUCGGACGGUGUCCGUGGCUCUAAUUCGAGGAAAUCGGAGAGAAGGAGAGAGGGAGGAGACCUAUGGAUCGAUUCUAAAGAGAGGGAAGACCUUCUUAUAGAGGGUCCUAAGAUUCCGAGAGAUCCUAGGACUCCUAAUGCGCAUGGGUCUCGCCGGAGAAGAAGACUCCUACCGGGAGUCUUCUUCCCGUUUUUACCCUGUUUUUUUUUUUUUUUGGGUCUUUGAUCUGCUGGGCUGGGCUUUGGGCUUGGUUUGGGCUAUAACAGUUAUAAAAGGAUAAAUAUGCAUGUUAUCACAGCAGGCCCCCUAGACACAGCAUUGCAAAAACAUGGCAAGUUCAGAGUCAGGCCAACAUCUUCUGGUUUCAUAUCAUCUGCAGGAGAAAAAAAUGAGCACAAUUAUCAGACUAAGUCACACAUGUGACUAACAUGG
rnacentral:lncRNA from 1 species